AGGAUGGUGGAAUUGAGGCCCAUGAAACUGAAAUGAAUACAAUAUCUUGAAUGCUGUGCGUGAUGCACCAUGGAAAGUACUUGAUAAAGAAUUUGAAACACAUUUCCCUUACGGACCACGUAUCUGAGUCGUACCAUUACUCACAAACAGGACAAGCACUGCGCGAUGACUAGAAAUUCCAGGUGUGAGCGCCUACAGUGUGCCGAUGGCUUCACACUCCGCUACCGUAGCAAGUUCUGUGUGCUAGUUCCUCAGCAGAAUCAUGAUGUUCAUCGGCCACCCCUGGCGUGGAAAACACCACAGGGCUUCGCAGGUGCCGGAAGAAAAGAAUCAGCUGCUCAGAUUAGGAGCCGCUUAACGAGCCACCUGUGAAAAUAAAAUAUCGCUACCUUUUCUUGAAA